AAUAAUGUCGUAAAUAACAAUAUAAGCGACACUGGGUAAAGUUUGCGACACCCGUAAACAGACAAAAUAAAAUUUAGCGCCUAAAUUUUUUAAUUUUUCAAUUAGGCGAUUUAUUUUCAGAUGAAAACAAUCCAACGCGCCUUCAUUUUCAUUCUCUAGAAUCAUCCUUCUCUUCCUGCACCUUUUCCACUUUCCUAUUCGACUGAAAAAUAAGAGGCUUAAUCUAUCCAAUCAGAGCUUUUGGGGAAUCAUCGGAAACUUUGGAGCAAAAUUGGAGAUCCUGCAGCACAAUCGGAGAUUUUCCAUCCAAGCUUGAGCGCCGUUGUUGGUGUGCAAUUCUUGGUUCGAGGCGCAGCAGCAGCUGAGGCAUGUGAUGAUGUACAUGCGGUGGAGGAAGCGGCUCAAGCACAGCCGCAGAUGAGUCAGUCCGAAUACGGACAAGGCGCUCGACGUGUUUCUGAGGGGUACGGUUUCUGGGUCCCCCAUGGCUAUGGUGGACGCCAGGCUCAUAUACUGGGGAGGGUUCUCAAGGAGAAGGUCAUCGCUUUGUAUCAGAAAGUUGCGAAAUUGGGAGAUCAUGCUAGGCAGUGGAAUUUGAGAAUUUUCUAUUUGCAAGGUAUUAAUUUUACCAAUUAUCUUCGAUUUUAGUAUUUAAAUUAUGAAACUAUGUGAUAGAAUUUGAUUAUUAUGGAACUGAAAUUUGCCAGUAUAAUCUGUUUGCGAUUGUACUUCUUUCAAUCAGUGCAUUAGUUCGAUUAUACUGAGAAAACUAGUUGUCCUUAAGUUGGGUAGAACGGCAAAAUAGGGUCAAUGUUAGUGUACUACUGUUUGGGAUUAGGAAAAUUGAUUUUGAACUAUUAGAACAUUUGGACCAGAAAGAAGUUCGGGGGAAAUUGAAUUCUCCAUUUAAUUAGUGCCUGGGUAGAAUGCUCUUUUCUUCAUUGUGAAAAUAUGAUCAAUUUUUGGUCCUAGAGUUAGAUGAAAUGUGUAAUUUCAACUAGGUUUCCAAUUCAUUCAGGGUAUGGUGCAGAGUUUGGUUAAUCACUCUGCUUUGAGGAUGUCCCUGUGUAGGUAAACACUAUUAUGUGUGAGCAUGCCUCUGUAUAGUACUGUCCAAGGUCCCAAAGAUAAAUUAUAUUCAAAACAUUUGAAUAUUCUUAUAUUUGGAUAUGUUUUUUUUUUCUUGUGUUGUGGUGAUGGUAUUGAAAGUUGAGCUCUCAAAUCACUACCUUCGAGCAUGAGGGAAACUGGAGUAAGGCCCUUGAGUACUAUGGAUUUUGGUUCCAGAAGUUUGUCAGUGUGAAGAGACUCAAUCAACAUAUCGUUUAUCCACACCAUAUAAAGGUUUGAUUGGGUCAUUGCAGCAAACUGGUUGUAUGCAUGUUCUGGAUUUGUAUUGCCAAGGAUUUAUAUGCAAUGGACAUGUUUGACAUUCUGGUUAGCCAUUUUUCUUGCUAGUUAAAUUCUACAAGUACCAGUUUUCCUGAUAUAUCUGAUAUACUAUUUGCAAUAGGAAUAUCCCAUAUAAGUGAAGAAAUCGUAAUAUAUGUUAGUGUUUAAGUAUAUUAGAAAAUGUUGUGUUUCCUCUUGUAAAAAUUCAGUUGUUUGAGGGCACUUAAAGAGGGAGAUUACAAUGAAUUCCAUGGAAAUCUGAAAUAUUCAAAGCAGGUGAUAUGAGUCUCAACUUUGUCUCCCCUAACAAGUUGGACAUGUAUAAUUUUACUUAUGCUAUGAGUUCAUAUGUUUCAGGAACUUCGCGAUCUGUUUCUAGUUUUGUGUGUUCAUAUGUGUCAGGAGCUUCGUUAUCUAUUUCUAGCGAUGUUGUUCAUAUGUGUCAAGAGCUUUGCAAUUUGUUUCAAAAAUGUCACUUGUUGCAGGUUCUAGAUAAAGAAAUGAUGCCGUUGGUGAAUAAUACUAUAAUUGAUACGGCCAUUCAACUAACUUUAAGUACAAGUGUAGUGUUGAUUUCAUACUUUUGUUGGUACUUCUAUAUGAUAAUACAUUGUAUUAUAAUUUACCUAAUUUAUAGUUCAUUAUUAAUAACAA